UUAGUCUUCUCUCUCUCCUCACCUCUUUUCUCUUUUCCUCUUUCUCUCCACGCUAAGUUCCUCCCUCUCUGUAAAGAUUUUCAACAGCCCUCUACUCCCUCCGAUCAGCCACCGCGACUCCUCCGGCCACUCCACCGUGAAACAUGUAACACACUCCACCAAUCCAAGCUCUGAAUUCCCCCUUCUUCCUCUUAAUUUUGGAGCUUAGGUUGCAAACCCACCUCCACUUAUCUUUGGAAAAUAGUUGAAAUUAGAGGUGAACCGAGUGCAAGCACAAGCGAUAAGGGAAAUGGGCACCUCCAUGGUUGACUAAGAAAGUAAUAGCAUUUUUUUGACGUGUACAGAGUAUAGAAGUGAGUGAACUCACUAGUUGGCAGCAGCACGUGUCAAGUCACUACCUCCCCUUUUGCUGGUAAAGUCGGAGUUUACACGUGGCAUGCGUAGGUUAUCUUUUGUUUGUAAAUAGUUGGGUUACAAAUGUAAGGUUAUAACCUUCCUUUUGCUAGUGGAGUUGUAUAUAUCUAUCGAAACAGGUUAAUGUUAUUUUGUUAUGUAUAG